rnacentral:misc_RNA from 1 species
UUGUUUUAUUUUGUGUUUUUACUCUGACGACAAUUGAAUAACAGAAUUUUAAAGGGCCUCUGGCGAACGCUCGUCGACUUGAAGGUCGGCGUGGUCGGAAAACCAGAUUCGCCAAAGCAACAAAAGGAAUUUGUAGACAAAGGGUGAAGAGUCGAGGCCGAAGCCUCAGGAGCGCAAGUCUCCAUUCUCUUUAAUGAUCCUUCCGCAGGUUCACCUACGGAAA